AGAGUUUGAUCCUGGCUCAGGAUGAACGCUAGCGGCAGGCCUAACACAUGCAAGUCGAGGGGUAGGGUUAGCUUGCUAACCUGAGACCGGCGCACGGGUGCGUAACGCGUAUGCAAUCUACCUUGUACAGAGGGAUAGCCCAGAGAAAUUUGGAUUAAUACCUCAUAGUAUUAUUGAAUGGCAUCAUUUAAUUAUUAAAGUUCCAACGGUACAAGAUGAGCAUGCGUCCCAUUAGUUAGUUGGUAAGGUAACGGCUUACCAAGACGAUGAUGGGUAGGGGUCCUGAGAGGGAGAUCCCCCACACUGGUACUGAGACACGGACCAGACUCCUACGGGAGGCAGCAGUGAGGAAUAUUGGACAAUGGGCGCAAGCCUGAUCCAGCCAUGCCGCGUGCAGGAUGACGCAUCUAUGGUGUGUAAACUGCUUUUAUACAGGAAGAAACCCUACCACGUGUGGUAGAUUGACGGUACUGUAGGAAUAAGGAUCGGCUAACUCCGUGCCAGCAGCCGCGGUAAUACGGAGGAUCCAAGCGUUAUCCGGAAUCAUUGGGUUUAAAGGGUCCGUAGGCGGUUUUGUAAGUCAGUGGUGAAAUCUGGUCGCUUAACGAUCAAACGGCCAUUGAUACUGCAAGACUUGAAUUACCAGGAAGUAACUAGAAUAUGUAGUGUAGCGGUGAAAUGCUUAGAUAUUACAUGGAAUACCAAUUGCGAAGGCAGGUUACUACUGGUAUAUUGACGCUGAUGGACGAAAGCGUGGGGAGCGAACAGGAUUAGAUACCCUGGUAGUCCACGCCGUAAACGAUGGAUACUAGCUGU
rnacentral:rRNA from 1 species